AGAGUUUGAUCAUGGCUCAGAAUCAACGCUGGCGGCGCGCCUAACACAUGCAAGUCGAACGAGAAAGCGGGGGUAACUCCGCAAGUACAGUGGCGUACGGGUGAGUAACACGUGGAUGAUCUGCCCUGGAGUGGGGAAUAACGCUGGGAAACCGGCGCUAAUACCGCAUAUUCCCGAGAGGGGAAAGCAGCAAUGCGCUCGAGGAGGAGUCCGCGGCCGAUUAGCUAGUUGGUAGGGUAACGGCCUACCAAGGCUAUGAUCGGUAGCCGGCCUGAGAGGGCACACGGCCACACUGGCACUGAAACACGGGCCAGACUCCUACGGGAGGCAGCAGUGGGGAAUCUUGCACAAUGGGGGAAACCCUGAUGCAGCGACGCCGCGUGAGCGAUGAAGCCCUUCGGGGUGUAAAGCUCUUUCGGCAGGGAAGAUGAUGACGGUACCUGCAGAAGCAGCUGCGGCUAACUACGUGCCAGCAGCCGCGGUAAUACGUAGGCAGCAAGCGUUGUUCGGAGUUACUGGGCGUAAAGGGUGUGUAGGCGGCCCCCUAAGUUUGGUGUGAAAUCUCCCGGCUCAACCGGGAGGGUGCGCCGAAGACUGGAGGGCUAGAGUGCGGGAUGGGAGAGUGGAAUUCCUGGUGUAGCGGUGAAAUGCGUAGAUAUCAGGAGGAACACCUGUGGUGUAGACGGCUCUCUGGACCGCAACUGACGCUGAGACACGAAAGCGUGGGUAGCAAACAGGAUUAGAUACCCUAGUAGUCC
rnacentral:rRNA from 1 species